AUGACAACAAAUGUCAUAUGAUCACCAACUGAGCCAAUGUUUCUCCCUCUCCCCCUGCCUCUCUCGCUGUGGGACUGUGGGUGAUCACCAAUGCAAUGUCACAUUUCUGCAAAAUCCUCAAAAGGAGGCAAAAGCAAGUGUCAUUGGCCAGGUUCCUUGUUCAAGCUGCACUAAAAGGAAAAGAUUCCACUGAGCGAUAGAUAGCAGUGAUUCCAUUAGUGAUAGUGAAAGUCGUGCUACACAAUUACCCUCUUCUCUCGUCUCCCUCAUACCAGCCACGAAGGCUUUCAAAGGUGUUUGGGAUAUGGAGAUGAGGAAGACUCUAAUGUGUGUGGAAGAAAGAAGAGUGAGCAAACCAUCCUCUGUCUCCUCCAGCUCAAGGUUCCAUUUUGCACACCAAGAAGGCAAGGCUCACGGUUUAGGAAUCUUUUCCAAGAUGAUGAAGCAAUGGAGGUGGGAGGGUGGCCAAGAUAAUAGGCUUCUGAAGGAUUUGUGCACCAGCACCCCGAUCUUUCUACUGCUCGAGUGAAAGAAAAAAGAAAUUGUUCACUGAAGUUUUUCUGUUGAGAAGACUUUGUUAUCCUGUGUCUCUGGAAGAAAAAAAGUAAGAUCUCGUUCUGUUUCUCCAUUCCCCAAUGUCUUCCUCUUUGGAAAUCAAAGCUAAAGGAAAAAAAAAAUAGUCUGUAUGCAAGACGCCCGAGUUGGAUUCCUGUGUAUCUGUGGCCGGAAACCCACUAAGAAAAAUACUGCCUUCUAAUCCCUCUGUGACGUGUCCCCUGGAAGGGGCUUAGUGCCCUUCCGGAUCCCUGUCAUCCCGCGAGGCCAGGCUCCGGGGCGUCCUGCCCUGAGAGCAGCUGUGCUCUGACAGGAGCGGCCGGCAGCGAAGGGGCGGCCGGGCAGGUGCGAGGAGGCGCACGUCUGGAAGGGGGCUGAGGGUCUCCCACGCGGCGUCUCUGCUCUGCCGCGUCUGCAACGGUUCUGGUAGUUUCCUCAGCCCGGAGUACCGGCACCCUCCUCCUCGUCCUCACAGACUCACAUUUCACAGACCAGGCCCAACGUGGCCCCUCGUGUAUCCUGCUCUGACCUCUCCAGGCAGAAUAAAGUGCUCCCUCUACUGUGCUCUCUGUCCAGCACCUGCCCCUCCAGAGUGUGGUAACCAGGGCUAGGGGAGGGGCGCAGGGGGCUCGUCGCCCCUGCAAGACUGAGCUUCUGAGGUUGGGGGUUAUUUCCUCCCCGUGUCUUACUCCUCAUGACUCCGCACAUGGUGCACACGUAGGUCACUUCAUUUCUCUUUAGAACGAGAGGUAAAUCGGCCCCUGCUGUGGCUUCCUUCUUACUGAAAGACCCACGAGCAAAGGGGAUCAGAACAAGCGUGUGAGGCAAAAGGCUGAGUCGGUAGAGGGCCCUGACUGCCGUGUUUUCCCACUUUGACCAGUAUGGCUUAUCCUCUGUCUUCCACUCAAACCUCGGGCACAGAGCAAUGCAUGGAAAUAGGCUGCAAAGGCAUCUGAGAGCUGAAAGGCAUCUCAGAGCCUGGCUGGGAUCCUGGUUCCAUCUCCCAGGCCUACGACUGGGGGCAAGGCCUCCUCCGAAAAUGGCAACAGCGUACGCAACCAUCAGAAAUAAUAUUCAGGGAAGCUACAAAGACCAAUGGGAAGACUCACAAUAGCAAGCAAAUAAAAAAAGAACAGGAGUGUUUAUACGUUUUGAUUGAAGUUAUAUAAAAAUACAUCUGUACCUGCACAAUAACUAGAAGGUAAUAUACAAAUAAAAACAAUUACAAUACUCAA